rnacentral:rRNA from 1 species
GGGACACGUGGUAUCCUGUCUGAAUAUGGGGGGACCAUCCUCCAAGGCUAAAUACUCCUGACUGACCGAUAGUGAACCAGUACCGUGAGGGAAAGGCGAAAAGAACCCCGGCGAGGGGAGUGAAAAAGAACCUGAAACCGUGUACGUACAAGCAGUGGGAGCACGCUUAGGCGUGUGACUGCGUACCUUUUGUAUAAUGGGUCAGCGACUUAUAUUCUGUAGCAAGGUUAACCGAAUAGGGGAGCCGAAGGGAAACCGAGUCUUAACUGGGCGUUAAGUUGCAGGGUAUAGACCCGAAACCCGGUGAUCUAGCCAUGGGCAGGUUGAAGGUUGGGUAACACUAACUGGAGGACCGAACCGACUAAUGUUGAAAAAUUAGCGGAUGACUUGUGGCUGGGGGUGAAAGGCCAAUCAAACCGGGAGAUAGCUGGUUCUCCCCGAAAGCUAUUUAGGUAGCGCCUCGUGAAUUCAUCUCCGGGGGUAGAGCACUGUUUCGGCAAGGGGGUCAUCCCGACUUACCAACCCGAUGCAAACUGCGAAUACCGGAGAAUGUUAUCACGGGAGACACACGGCGGGUGCUAACGUCCGUCGUGAAGAGGGAAACAACCCAGACCGCCAGCUAAGGUCCCAAAGUCAUGGUUAAGUGGGAAACGAUGUGGGAAGGCCCAGACAGCCAGGAUGUUGGCUUAGAAGCAGCCAUCAUUUAAAGAAAGCGUAAUAGCUCACUGGUCGAGUCGGCCUGCGCGGAAGAUGUAACGGGGCUAAACCAUGCACCGAAGCUGCGGCAGCGACGCUUAUGCGUUGUUGGGUAGGGGAGCGUUCUGUAAGCCUGUGAAGGUGUGCUGUGAGGCAUGCUGGAGGUAUCAGAAGUGCGAAUGCUGACAUAAGUAACGAUAAAGCGGGUGAAAAGCCCGCUCGCCGGAAGACCAAGGGUUCCUGUCCAACGUUAAUCGGGGCAGGGUGAGUCGACCCCUAAGGCGAGGCCGAAAGGCGUAGUCGAUGGGAAACAGGUUAAUAUUCCUGUACUUGGUGUUACUGCGAAGGGGGGACGGAGAAGGCUAUGUUGGCCGGGCGACGGUUGUCCCGGUUUAAGCGUGUAGGCUGGUUUUCCAGGCAAAUCCGGAAAAUCAAGGCUGAGGCGUGAUGACGAGGCACUACGGUGCUGAAGCAACAAAUGCCCUGCUUCCAGGAAAAGCCUCUAAGCAUCAGGUAACAUCAAAUCGUACCCCAAACCGACACAGGUGGUCAGGUAGAGAAUACCAAGGCGCUUGAGAGAACUCGGGUGAAGGAACUAGGCA